rnacentral:lncRNA from 1 species
CAGUUCCAGUUUGAUGUCUAGUGAGAUAGAUAGAUAGAGAUGUGCCAAGAGAGUAAAUCACGGCAUUUCUGUAUGUCUGACUAUGGAAUAUUCUUCAGAAAUCACUGAGACCAUUUAUUUUACAUUGGAAUUUCAUCUUGAUCUAAGAUCCAUCAACUUUAGUAGGAUUGCUUGGAAAUGGAUGAUAACUGAAAUUUGCUGUCAACUUAGAAACUCCAUCUGUGAUCACUAUUAUCACCUCCUCACCGCCAAACCUCAAACCAAAGCUGUGCCUUCUGAAUCCAUUUGUGACGGAGUUUCACUCUUGUUGCCCAGGAUCUCGGCUCACCGCAACAUCCACCUCCCGGGUUCAAGCGAUUCUCCUGCCUCAGCCUCCCGAGUGGCUGCUAUUACAGGCAUGCGCCACCAUGCCUGGCUAUUUUUGUAUUUUUAGUAGAGAGUGGUUGCUCCAUGUUGGUCAAGCUGGUCUCAAACUCCCGACCUCAGGUGAUCUGCCUGCCUCGGCUUCCCAAAGUGCUGGCAGUCUCUCUGCUUCUGAGAUGGUUCCUUUUUAGUUUCUUAUCUUGGCUAUUGUCCUUCCCAUGAGAAAGUCUCACCCAGUUCUGCAUGGUUCAAGUCCCAUCUCCCCAACAGAUAACUACCCCACCCUAGAGAAAGCUCUUCGUUUUCUGCCAUAUGUAUAUUUUAUUUUAUAUUGUCAUCAGAUUAGUAUAACAUAUAUCCUAUUUCAUCUUUGUGUAGAAAAUCUCCAGAAAGUCAAGCCUGAAUCCUACUAUUAAAAUACCCCCUCGAUCUUCAAUCAUAUUAUUCCGCAAAUAGUACAUCUAUUUAAUUCAAAAUUAAUGAGGGACUAGAAUGAUACCCUAUGGAUUUAAUAAGGAAUUAUAAUUUUUUAGUAUUAAAAUAUAGUAAGCAGUUUAUGUUAUUAACAAUAAUGUGUCCCCAGACUUAUUCCAGGAUUGCAGACAUAAGUGUUUAGGAUGGCCAUACGAGUUAUAAAAAUUGGAGAAGAGGGCCUGAUGUAUGAAUAUCAGACACAGAGGAAUAUUCUGUACUUAAAGAAUUAAACAUGUUCUUUAUUUUUCUUGAAACAUAUGGGCUUUUCAGAUUAUCUUUUCUUUUAGCUUUACUAGCCAUGGUGACAGAGAAAUGUUUAUUUACUGUAAACAAUAGUAAAAGCAAGAGUAAUGACAAAUAGCGACUGCUGUUUGGACUCAUUGUUAGGAAACCAGUGAGAUAUGGUGGGGAUUAUGAAUCACUGUAGCUACACAAUUCCUCCAAGGAGGGCAACAGUAGGAUGUUCAGGGGAUAUUGCAGUAUAAAAA